rnacentral:rRNA from 1 species
GAUGAACGCUGGCGGCGUGCCUAAUACAUGCAAGUCGAGCGAACAGACGAGGAGCUUGCUCCUCUGACGUUAGCGGCGGACGGGUGAGUAACACGUGGAUAACCUACCUAUAAGACUGGGAUAACUUCGGGAAACCGGAGCUAAUACCGGAUAAUAUAUUGAACCGCAUGGUUCAAUAGUGAAAGACGGUUUUGCUGUCACUUAUAGAUGGAUCCGCGCCGCAUUAGCUAGUUGGUAAGGUAACGGCUUACCAAGGCAACGAUGCGUAGCCGACCUGAGAGGGUGGACGGCCACACUGGAACUGAGACACGGUCCAGACUCCUACGGGAGGCAGCAGUAGGGAAUCUUCCGCAAUGGGCGAAAGCCUGACGGAGCAACGCCGCGUGAGUGAUGAAGGUCUUCGGAUCGUAAAACUCUGUUAUUAGGGAAGAACAAAUGUGUAAGUAACUAUGCACGUCUUGACGGUACCUAAUCAGAAAGCCACGGCUAACUACGUG